CUUUAAUCAAAACACAAGUCUGAAGGCUGAAAAGUCUUAUAGGAAUAAAACAGAAGCUUAAACUCACGCAAGCCUCAUACAAAAAAGAGGAAUAGAACGAGAAACAGAGGUUGCAAGACGAUUUACGCAGACAACGAAAAUCCUAGGGUUCUUUACAAAUCACAAAUUCUUGAACGCAGGUAUAUAAAAUUUCCUAUUUUCAAUUAUUCUAUAGUAGUAAUAGGUAAGAAUUGAAUAGUUAAUUCUCAUCUUUCUCUGUAUCAACAGUAAAUUUCAUGUUUAGGUGAGAAACUUUAAAAUUGAUUAAAAUGCACUGGUUGUUGUAGAAUCAAUUAUUUGACGGGUAUAAAUUAGACUAGGGCCUGCGUAUUAGCUCAAGGAGUUUUGAGGUGAGUUGAUAUAACCUUUUACUAAAGUGGUUUAACUCACAAAAGCACGCAUACAAGGUGUUUGAUGAAUUGCUUAAAAGCGUUUAUAUUUACUUAAUUGGAGCGAGUGAGUACCUAUUAACUUAGAAUUGUUCUAGCAAAAGUUUAGAUGAUUUAUUAUGAUAUAUGGGUUUAACUUUUCAGAUUUUUGUGUUAUUCUUAUAUGCUAUUUUCAUGUUGAAAAUUUAUGAAGAAGCAAGAAUCUUUAGAAACACUUCUAUAUGCUUAUUUCAUUCGUAUGACAUGCUUUACAUUUAAGGAUACCAACAUGAGCAUGUAUAUGAUGUUCUAUAAAGAAAAGAUUUAAACUUGAAAAGUCACAAGAAGAAGUUUUAGAAAGAAAAGAUUUUUGGGAGUAUCCUUUAUUCUGAGAAGGGGUCAUCGUCCAGGCCGAAGGUCCUGACCAAGGCGUUGACUUCCUGAAACUACUUGUGCCAAAGUGGGGAGCACACAAGCCGAGGGUCUCGUUGCUGAGAAUUUACUUAGCCAUACUAAGAUAUGAUACAUGAGCAUUGAGAACCAUGAAGCGAGUGACACCUCGUGGAUUGGGCCUAUUCGAUCAGGUUGGGAUCGAACCUGUGCCGAUCACACGGUGACAGAGACAGAAUUAAGUCAGGAUAAUUGGAACUCCCAAAGUAUAAAGUGAAGUAUUUUUUUAUAAGAAAGAAAAAGAAAAGAAUUUCUUUUAGAAUAUUCAUAAACUGUUAUUAUGCAAUUAUUUAGAAUUAUUCUUAUAAGUUUUAUGUUUUACAUGCAUUUAGAACCUUUGAUUAUAAUAUAUAUGUUAUUAAAGUUUCGCCCCAUGUUGUUGAGACUCACUGAGUACAAUGGAUGGUACUGACGUUCUCUUUUGGGAACCUACAUUGGUCUGCGGUACAACGUAGGAACCGGUUUUGCAGGCGAGCAGGCUACUGGUUAGGACUUCCUUCUCUUCCUGUGCUAUUGGUGAGCUCUGCUUUUGUUCGUGGAGUAUUCCUUAGAGUCAUCUUUAUUUAGUUAUUUCUUUGUUUACUUAGAGAACUGUUCAAGAAAUCUCAUGUCCUAAGGAGUGCGUCAGUUUAUCAGUAGAGGCUUCACAGACAUAGUCGUUGGGUUAAGAUUCAGACGUUCUUUGAUAAUAACUUAGCAGUAAUUCAGUAGUUACUACGAAUAAAAUUUUGGAGUUGAUUUAUUUAAAUAUUUAAAUUAAUCAAAAGUAUUUGGUUAGAGUAUUACCUUAUUGCAUAUAAAGUUUGGAGUUAUAAUAGAUUUGAUAAGCAGAGAUCGUUCGCUCGGUUAUAUUUAGUGAUCAAGUGUCGGUUCCGACUUUUUCAGAAAAUGGAUCGUGACAAUGGAG
rnacentral:lncRNA from 1 species